AGCGGCGGACGGGUGAGUAACACGUGGGUAACCUACCUAUAAGACUGGAAUAACUCCGGGAAACCGGGGCUAAUGCCGGAUAACAUUUAGAACCGCAUGGUUCUAAAGUGAAAGAUGGUUUUGCUAUCACUUAUAGAUGGACCCGCGCCGUAUUAGCUAGUUGGUAAGGUAACGGCUUACCAAGGCAACGAUACGUAGCCGACCUGAGAGGGUGAUCGGCCACACUGGAACUGAGACACGGUCCAGACUCCUACGGGAGGCAGCAGUAGGGAAUCUUCCGCAAUGGGCGAAAGCCUGACGGAGCAACGCCGCGUGAGUGAUGAAGGUCUUCGGAUCGUAAAACUCUGUUAUUAGGGAAGAACAAAUGUGUAAGUAACUAUGCACGUCUUGACGGUACCUAAUCAGAAAGCCACGGCUAACUACGUGCCAGCAGCCGCGGUAAUACGUAGGUGGCAAGCGUUAUCCGGAAUUAUUGGGCGUAAAGCGCGCGUAGGCGGUUUCUUAAGUCUGAUGUGAAAGCCCACGGCUCAACCGUGGAGGGUCAUUGGAAACUGGGAAACUUGAGUGCAGAAGAGGAAAGUGGAAUUCCAUGUGUAGCGGUGAA
rnacentral:rRNA from 1 species